rnacentral:rRNA from 1 species
UCAUAGCGACUAUCGUGGCAUAUCAAUAAGCGGAGGAAAAGAAACUAACAAGGAUUCCCUAGUAACGGCGAGUGAAGCGGGAAGAGCUCAAAUUUGAAGUCUUAAAGGUUUUCCCUUGACGAAUUGUAGUUUGAAGAAGUGUUUUCUGUUGGAGUUUCGGUAAAAGUUCUUUGGAAUAGGACAUCAUAGAGGGUGAGAAUCCCGUAUUUGACCGUUACUUUCCAGCUGUGUGAUACACUUUCAAAGAGUCGGAUUGUUUGGGAAUGCAGUCCAAAAUGGGUGGUAAAUUUCAUCUAAAGCUAAAUAUUGGCGAGAGACCGAUAGCGAACAAGUACCGUGAGGGAAAGAUGAAAAGAACCUUGAAAAGAGAGUUAAACAGUACGUGAAAUUGUCAAAAGGGAAGCGUUUGACACCAGUGUUGUUUAGUUGAAAAUCAAUUCAAUAAUUUUUGAUUUUGAGUAGUAUUGACUUCAUCAGCUUGCUGCUUUCUUUUCGGAAAUUAUUGAAUGCACUUUUCAGUUAACAAGUCAACAUCAAUUUCUUUUGUUGUAAAAGGGUAAGAGGAAGGUGGCUUACGCUUCGGCGUAAGUGUUUAUAGCCUUUUACCUCUGCAAUCGGAGAGAUUGAGGACAGCAGCGUAGACUCUUCGGGGUUAGAUACAUUUGUGCUAAGUUAUAGUUUUUCAUAGACAACAUGUUGACUAUGAUUAAUCAUGUAGCUUACUCGCUUGUGCUAUUUUACCUACGCUUAGGAUGUUGAUAUGCAUGACUGAUAU